rnacentral:lncRNA from 1 species
UUUUUUUUUUUUUUUUUUUUACGAGCCGCUGGAGUGGGGUUGCGGAGUGGGGGAGGGCGGGGAGGGUGGUGGGCAGCUCACAUUCAGGCAUUCAGGGCCUGAAAGGAACGGCUUAAGGAGCCUGACAGAGGCCCGGGAGCUCCUCCUACUCUUAAGGAGGCUCAGAUAUGGAGCCCUCUGCUCGCAGCACAGAACCAGCGGGCAGGGCUUGGGGGCAGCUGCUUGCAUCCGGCUCGGCCAUGGUCCUUUUUGUUUGGUUCAUUAUACUGUGUGAGUUUUUUUUUCUUGGGGGGGGGCACUUUUAUUAAUUCUCCCUGGUCCCAAUCUGUGCUUUCUACUGGCUUCAGAGUUCAGUUUGUUUUUCGAGUUUCCCAUCUUUGCCGAUCAUCAACGGGGGUGGGUGUGCCGGGACCGGGGGGUGGGGGGUGGGAGGGAACUCAGAAUUUAAUGUGGGACUUUGAAACUUGAAAAAAUAAAAUCCAAAUGCACACAAGAGGCACACGCUUAAUUAGGAGUACUGAUGAGAUAUUUGCAACCCUCCCUCCACCCCUCCACUCCCCCGCAACCCGAUCCCAGUUUACCGAUCUGGCAGGUACGGUCCGGGGGCGAGGCAUCCUUGUCAACUGCAAGACAGAAAUCCAGUAAGGCAAUUUAUUUUUUUUAAGAAUAUAAAUUUCUAACACAGACGGCGAUGAAAAAAACAAUCAUAGUAUUAAACAUCUUUAGGAACGUUGAGCCGCGGUCACAACCUAGAAGAAGGGGACAAACCGGCACCCUCCAAGGCUUCUAUUAAAGUGUAAGUUUCAAUCCCUGGCUCGGUUGAAGAAGGGUAACCGCCCGAGUACUGCAGCCUCUGCAACCCAGGCGCGAGAGUUUGCGAACUACCUUAACUGCGGCGCAACGCAGCCUUCGACCACCAGAGGCACCGGGCGCCUGCGGCCUGUCAAAAACUGGCGCUUUUUUCCUCCCCUUUCCGUGGAGAGACUAUCAACUCCAUCUGUCACAAAAAUUAAGGCUAAAUCUCCUUUCUAGAAGCAAAAAGGAAUGGGGGCCCCAGUGAGCACUGAGUUCGGCUACCCGCCUCUCCCUGGGGGCUCCGUGAAUUUGAAAUGGCAAAAGUCAGAACAGAGCCACGGGAUCUGGUGACACAUCAGGCUACAGCAGCAAAGCCUCCUAUUCCUGCGGAGCCUGCUGCAUUCCUCAGAGGCUCAGGGUCUGCCUUAGGAAGCUGCACCUCUGCAAUCCCCCCAAACAACACUUAAACAAAAUAAACCUUAAAAGAGCCAGGUUGAAAUAAGACAGACCGCAUGGCUCUGACUUGAGUCAUAGAAAACAUGCAAACAACAAUAGCAAUCUCUGUUCAAAAAACAAAAUAGAGAGGAUGCAAUUGUAUGGCCCGUGUAGAACAACCCUUUCCCAGGUUCUGGGUUUGUUUUAUUAUUUAUUUAUGUAUUUAUUUAUUUAUUUAAAGUUGCAGUAUCCAAUUUCUUUAUUUUUUCUAUCUUUUAAAAAAAUUAUCAUUGAUUUACAAUGUUCUGUCAAUUUCUGCUGUACAGCAAAGUGACCCAGUCAUAUUAUCUAUAUAUGUAAUUCUUCUUCUCCUCAUGUUAUUCUCCAUCAAGUAUCAUCAUAAGUGACUAGGUACAGUUCCUGUCCUAUUUAGAAGGAUCUCAUUGCUUAUCCACUCCAAAUGCAAUAGUUUGCAUCUACUAACCCCAACUCCCAGUUUAUCCCACUCUCUUGGUUCUGGGUUUUAUUUAGUUAUUUUUUGGUUAUUUGGAAUGGACCCAUGAGAACAGCCAUUUCCCGGGUUCCGGGUUUGUUUUAUUUUGUUGGUUGGUUGGUUGGCUAUUUAGAAUUGUAGUCUUGGUCCUGCCAAGAGGGCUUGGACAAGUCACACUCCUUCUCAGUGCCUUGGAUCCUUCACAUGGAAGCUUCAAAGCCAGCUUGGAUGCUUGAAAAAACCUUUCAUUUUUAAUGCACUGGGAUUUUUGGCUCAUAAGAACAAAGUCAACAGUCAGCUGCAUCUUGAAGCUAAUGUUUGUUGAGUUUCUUUAGAACAGUGGGUCUCAAACCUUAGUAAGCAUGGGACUCACCUGGUGGCCUUGUUCAAAUCCACACUGCUGGGCCCUCUCCUGGAGUUGCUGAAGCAGUGGGAUGGGGGCAGGGCAAGAAUCUGCAUUUCUAACAUGUUCUUGUGGCUCAGUGGAUUAAGGACCUUGUUUCUUUGGGGAUGUAGGUUCAAUCCCUGGCCUGGCUCAGUGGGUGGAGGAUCCAGCGUUGCCAUAGCUGUGGUAUAGACUGCAGCUGCAGCUCUGAUUCAAUCCCUGGCCCAGGAACUUCCCUAUGCCACAUGUGUGGCCAUAAAGAAAAAAAAAAUAUUCUCACUAUAACAACAAAAGGAUGGUGAUUGUGGGAGGUGAAGAAUGUAUUCAGUAAUCUAAUUGUGGUACACAUGGCACAGUAUAUAUGCUUAGCAAGUUGUCACCUCAUACACUUUAAACUUAUACGAUGUUCUAUGUCCGUUAUAUCUCAAUAAAGCUGGGAAAACAAAUCCCAGCUGGCCCUUUUAGGCACAGCCUCCACCUUAGCCCUUUUCAGUUCCGUCUGAUUUUUCUUCCAUAAUCCACAUCCCACUAGACCCCGAAGUGAGGAACACAGGCUGUUAUUUCUCCCUUGUCCCCACUUCCAAAGCGUUCUCUGCCUUCCUCCUUGGAAAUCUCCAGAUUCCUUGAACAGCGUGCUGUCAGCUAUUCCAAGAGUCACCUACUAGCUUUUCCUCCAGCUACAGCCCUUCUCAACCAGGAUUGCUCCUGGAAAACAAGCAGACAGAAAAUAAGCUGAGUGUCUCUUUCCUCCCUGCUCUCCAGCAUGGUGCAUAACCAGUACUGGAACCCCAAGUCAUCUUCAGGUAGAGCCAUUAAACCUCUAACCUGCCUUCACUGACCAAGCUCACUUUAAUUGUUGCUACAGAAAACUUGCAUGUCUUCCAAGUGUCAUGUAGCCUAAACAAUAAGAUGUUUGCCCAAGUCAUUUUUAAGGAAAACAGCCGUGUCCAGUUUGAGCUCUAACUGGUUAAGACUGGCUUUAUCUUUGAUCAAUAUGACCAUAGACCAGUGACCCACCAACUGAGCAUGCUUGUGUGCCUGCUAAGGAGACCGAUCUCUCUCUCUCUCUUUAUUUUUUUUUUUUUUUCCUUUUUGGAUGCAUUCAUGACGUGGAAUUUCCUGGGCCGGGGAGCAAACCCGAACCACAGCAGCAACCUGAGCCACAGACAGCAGUGACAGUGCUAGAUCCUUAACCCACUGAGCCAUCAGGGAACUCCUAAGAUGACCUCUUGAUAUCAGAGGGCCAAAAACUCCAGCGUCAGAACAUGCUAACAUGCCCUGUCACCUUGUCUCAGUGCUGUCACCUCUCACCUGUUCAGGAUGUUGCUUUGCAGUUACUUCUUCCACUGCUGUGCCCUUGCUCCGGUUUUACUGUAUCAUGCCCAUCCACUUUGUUCUACCUUAAAACAAAACAAAAAACCCCUUCCUAGACCUCAAGUUCCUACUCAGUAACUCUUCCAUUUCAAUGAAAACACCUUGAAAAAUUUGCUUUUACUCUCUUUCUCUGCUCUCUCUUCAGUUCACAAUACUCAGGAUUCAUCUCACCAUUUUUCUCAUCAAGGAUGACCAAAAUCUUGACCUUUCGACUUCACCAUGGGCCAUGACUGAUAACUCUUCUUUUGAAAGUGCUGUUUCAUUUGGCUUCUUGGAUUCACUACGUUUCUGUUACCCAUCAUACUGGCUGGGGUCUCCUUCUCUGUCCAAACUCGCUCCUUAGGUGAUGUCAUUCAGUGCCUAGAUUCUAAAUUAUAUCUCUUGAUUUCACCAUUUCAAUCCUAGUCUUUCUUUGAUUUUCAUGUGUAUGUUAUUCACUUGGUUGCUCAAUGAACCUCACAAACAUAGCUUGUCCCAAGAGCACUGCUGAUUCUGGGCUCCCAAAUCUUCAUUGUUUCCUAGUCUUUCAGUGCUAUACAUUCUCCAAAAUUCAUCUCCAUCGCUUUCCUCCAUCCCUUUAUAUCUGUGCUACUCAGAUCGAGAGGCAGAGUCUAAUUUCUUUUCCAUUCAGUCUUGGGCAGACCUUAGUGACUGACCAAUGAGUUGUAGUGACAGUGACUGACAUUCUGGGGCUUCUUAGUGAGGGCACAAGAGGUCUUGCAACUUCUACCUGGGCUUCUUGGAAUGCUUGCUCGGGAGAAGCCGGUAACCAUGUAAGAAAUCUGAUUACUUUGAGACUGCCAGGCUGUGAGGAAGGCCAGGCUUGCCAUGUGGAGAGGCUACAUGGAGAGAGAAAGAGAUGCCUGGGCGGUUCCCAGCUUUUUCAGCCAUGUGAAUGAGGAAGGCACAAGACAUGCAAGAGAAAAAGCCAUCUUGGAUGACCAGCCCAAUGGAAACUUUCGGUGACUUCAGCUCAGCUGCCAUCUGAUGGAAAGUAUGUGGAAGACACCCCAACCCAGGGCCAGGACUAGGGUGAGAGGAGUGAGAUUCCCAGGUACAAGACUGAAGGAGGAGCUCGCUCAUCUUGAUACUGCAGGGACCUUGAGUACAUCCUGUAGCCUAAACACUUCAUUCACCUCCCCCUCGUUCUGGUCUUUCCCUCAUGAAAGAACAGCACCGCUUAGCCCGGUCAACCCAAAGAAUCAUGAGAAGUAACAAAAAAUAUUGUUUUAAGCCACUAAGUUUUGAGGUGGUUUGUUAUGCACCAAUAGACAAUCAUAUAUACACUUUCCAUCAUAUUCAAUGGCUUGGCUCAAAGGUCUAUCUGGACUCUUCCGUAUUCUUCACAUCCCAUAUCCAAUUGAUGGCCCAUCACAGGCAGUCAAUGAAACAUUCGUUUGGCUGAAUGCAUGGGAAAUCAGAAUUUAUGGCUUGUCUUCUAGAUUAGCCAAUUCAGAACGAGGCUAAACCACUUAUACUGCAGAAAAGGGAACAGAGAUCUUGAGAGGUUAAAGAAUACAGAGUAGUUCUGACAUUUUAAAAAUAGAAAAUGAUGUUCUCGGAGAGUUCAGUGGUUCAGUGAAAGAAUGAAAGAGUCAAGGAUAAGUACCACCUACCUCUUGGUGCCUAAACCGUGUGGCAGAUAGAAAGCCAUAGGAGGCAGGCCCUCUGCCCUUUUGGGGACUUACCAUUAUGUCAGCUGGUCAUGAAAGGAUGUCUGGGAUACCAGCUGAAGGCUUGUCGUAGACACCUGCUCACUUGUUUUAUUUAUUUUUGUUUUUAUAACUAGAGACUAUAAAUACUUGGUAGCAGACCACAAGUGGAAACCAAAUAACAUCUACUCUAGAAGUCUAUGUUCUACCUCGUAUCCUAAAUGUCUACCCCGUUCUUUCUAAAAGUUUUCCCUUGGUCUCUCCAUUGCUUUUUUAAGUGUUUUCUAAUGAUUUUUUUAAAAAUUAAAGUAUAGUUGAUUUACAAUGUUGUGCCAAUUUCUGCCAUACAGCGAAGUGACCCAGUCAUACAUAGAUACAUGUUCUUUUUUCUCAUAUAUCUUCCAUCAUGUUCUAUCCCAAGAGGUUGCAUACAGUCCCCUGUGCUAUUCUUGGGAACAAAAUAGAAGGAUGGGCGCCCCAAAUGGAUGGGAACCCCAUUCAUGCUCAACAAAUGUGGGUCAUUCCCAUAGUUGAAGGUUUGGGGCCUUCUCCUGAACUCAUCUCUCUUUAUAACUCUCUUAAGGACCAUCCCAAGUCUGAUUAGCUCCAUCUAAGAAAAUGUCUCACAUCUAACCUUUCUGUAUUCUCACUGCCCUGUGUUUUGUUUCUAUUUUAUUUUAUUUUAUUUUAAGUUUGCACCAUUGCUAACCCUUAGUUUCCCAACUCUUCCCAACUUUUCCUCUAAAUCAAAGAUUCUUGACAGUGGAAGUGUGUUAGAAUCACUUGGGAGGCUUUUUAAAAAUAAAUGAUGCAUUUUUAAAUAAUUAUACUUGAAUUUUUCCCCGAGGGCCUAGGAGUGUGUAUUUUGGAAAAAAAAAAUACAAAGGCAUAUUUCUGGUUAAAUAAUGCUGCCACUGGUUUGCAGAUGUCAAGAUUUCAUAGAUCAGUUCAUUAAAAAAUUUUUUUGGAUUAUCUUUGAAAAAAGAUACUAACUUCUUAAUUGUGUCACAUGUUAACAAAUUUUCACAAUCCUUACUACCAUCUAUUAACACUAGUGUUUUAUUAAAUAAAGGAGAUUUUGGAGGGAAAGACAGAGAGGAAUAACUGGAGAUUAGAGGCCUUUAAAUUGAAUGCAUUUAGAUUUUUAAAGAACUUAAUACCUCGUCCUGCAUUUUUUCUCACUUCCGCAGAAAGUUACUAUCCAGGGGAAACUGCAGACAGCAUUUUGGAAUCACUACUUUAAAAUAGUCCUCCUCGCUGCUGCUGCUGCGUCUCACUGAAUCACUGUUCCGUUUAAAAACUUACUGUAACUCUUUAGGAGAAAGCCCAAAGUCAUUACUAUCACUGCAAGAUGGAAUAAUUAGGAAAACCCAUUCCAAAUAUUUACCCCCAUCUAUUCCUGCCUGUGCCCUCAAAUACAGACAGGCAUGCAGACACUUACACACACGGACACACAUAUGCACCCAUACAUACACACGCACCCACACACAUGCAUGCACGCAUGCACAAAUGCAGGCACACACACAUGCACAUACACUCACAUGUGCACACAUAUAAGCACCAAUUGGCAUUUCUCUUCUGAGCAUCCAUCAUGGCAUCCCCCUGCUGCCUUUAAUCUGGGACCUUUUGUAUGUUUGUCUCUUUAUCAGAGAAAUGGUUCCCAGCUUGAAGGGAAUAUGGAAGAGGAGCUCCCUGUAGAACCCUUAUUCCCUGGACAUUGCACAUGAUGUCAACAUCAUCAGCCUCUCUGUAUGCACAUACUCUUUGUUACACCAGUCAGUGGCAGACUUCCCAGGCUUCCUCUCGUGUGCCUUUAGCUUUCAGGGUCAAAUGAGUCAGUGGCUGAGUGGCUGAGCUGUUUGGGUACCACCUGCCCAAGUACAGACAGUAUGAUCUGUUUUGUUUGUUUGUUUGUUUGUUUGUUUUGUCUUUUUAGGGCUGCACCUGUGGCAUAUGGAGUUUCCCAGGCUAGGGGUCAAAUCAGAGCUGUAGCCACUGGCCUACCCCACAGCCACGGCAAUGCCAGAUCCAAGCCACAUCUGUGACCUACACCACAGCUCACAGCAACGCCGGAUCCUUAACCCACUGAGCGAGGCCAGGGAUCGAACCUGCGUCCUCAUGGAUGCUAGUCAGAUUCAUUUCCUUUGAGCCAUGACGGGAACUCCAGACACUAUAAUCUUGAGACACACAAUGUUUCAAAAUAAUAGCACUCUAAGACCAAGAGGGAUUUAUCCUAGAGAUCUGAAUGCAGGAAAUGUAGCCAUUUAAUCUACACCAAUAAAGUAAAAGAGAAAAAGAUAUGAUCACAUCAAAUGAUGCUGGAAAGACAUAUAGUAGAAUCAGUAGCCAAUGCUAAUAAAAACCUACCGCAAAGGAGCAAUAGGUAGAAACUAAUUAUAUAAAUCAUACCAACCAGAAACAGCAAAUACUAUCCUCAGUCAUAAACACUAGAACUAUUUGAAUUAAAAUUAGAAAUGACAGGAAUAGUCAAUGUCAAUAUUAUUUAGCAUUUCCUUAGAAGAUUUAACCAAGGUAAUAAGCACAUAAGAUGCAAUGAUAGGCAUAAAAAUGGAAAAAGAACAUAUAAAUAUAUCUCUUGGAGUUCUCAUGGUGGCUCAGCAGUAAUGAACCUGAUUAAUAUUCAUGAGGACUUGGGUUCGAUGCCUGGACCCACGCAGUGGUUUAAGGAUACAGAAUUGCCAUGAGCUGUGGUGCCAUACAGAUGUGGCUCGGAUCUGGUGUUACUGUGGUGGUGGUGUAGGCCAGCAGCUGCAGCUCCGAUUCAACCCCUAGCCUGGGAACUUCCAUAUGCUACAGGUGCAGCCC